GGGGGCGAUCGGCUUCGACGGGUAGUCGAUGGCUUUCGCUGCGUGCCGAGGUUGUCACAUUCCUCGUUAAAUAGGUGGCACUGUUGGUAGCAUAUAACUGCCGACGAUAAUUACGCACUCGCUGCUUAGUUAGAAGCUAAGACAGCGACGUCCGUCCCUGACGUCUCCUAGGGGCUAGCGGGCGUCAUUUAGGAGACUCGCUGCUGGUCGCUGGCAGACCGUAACCGGUGGCAAAAAAUAUGUCGGCCUAGAUAACACUGCUCUUGGCGUCGUGAUUGGUGUUGUCGAAACUGAACGAAGCCUACGCACGUAGACGCGGCAGUCGGAAGCUAUGCGGACGCGGGUUCGAUUCCCGCCGCCUCCACCA
rnacentral:tmRNA from 1 species